UGGGGAAUAUUGCACAAUGGGCGCAAGCCUGAUGCAGCCAUGCCGCGUGUGUGAAGAAGGCCUUCGGGUUGUAAAGCACUUUCAGCGAGGAGGAAGGUGGUGAGCUUAAUACGCUCAUCAAUUGACGUUACUCGCAGAAGAAGCACCGGCUAACUCCGUGCCAGCAGCCGCGGUAAUACGGAGGGUGCAAGCGUUAAUCGGAAUUACUGGGCGUAAAGCGCACGCAGGCGGUUUGUUAAGUCAGAUGUGAAAUCCCCGGGGCUCAACCUGGGAACUGCAUUUGAAACUGGCAAGCUAGAGUCUCGUAGAGGGGGGUAGAAUUCCAGGUGUAGCGGUGAAAUGCGUAGAGAUCUGGAGGAAUACCGGUGGCGAAGGCGGCCCCCUGGACGAAGACUGACGCUCAGGUGCGAAAGGCGUGGGGCAGCAAACAGGAUUAGAUACCCUGGUAGUCCACGCUGUAAACGAUGUCGAUUUUGGAGGUUGUGCCCCUUGAGGCGUGGCUUCCGGAGCUAACGCGUUAAA
rnacentral:rRNA from 1 species